rnacentral:rRNA from 1 species
AGUGAACGUUGGCGGCGUGGAUUAGGCAUGCAAGUCGAGCGAGAACCGUAGCAAUACGGGGACAGCGGCGAAAGGGACAGUAAUGUGUAGGUACCUACCCCGAGGUCUGGGAUAGCUGCGGGAAACUGCAGGUAAUACCGGAUAAUGUCUUCGGACCAAAGGUGUGAUUCCACCUUGGGAGGGGCCUGCAUCCUAUUAGCUAGUUGGCGGGGUAAUGGCCCGGCAAGGCGACGAUGGGUAGCGGGUGUGAGAGCACGACCCGCGUCAUUGGGACUGAGACACUGCGCAGACACCGACGGGUGGCUGCAGGCGAGGAUCUUCGGCAAUUGGCGAAAGCCUGACCGAGCGACGCCGCGUGCGGGAUGAAGGCCUUCGGGUUGUAAACCGCUGUCGUGGAGGAGGAAAUGCAGGUGGGUUCUCCCAUCUGUUUGACCUAUUCUAGGAGGAAGUACGGGCUAAGUUCGUGCCAGCAGCCGCGGUAA